rnacentral:rRNA from 1 species
GACGAACGCUGGCGGCGUGCCUAACACAUGCAAGUCGAACGAAGUGGCGAACGGGUGAGUAACGCGUAAUCAACCUGCUCUUCAGAGGGGGACAACAGUUGGAAACGACAGCGAAUACCGCAUACUGAAGGUGGGGAUUGCGUCGGAUGAGCUAGCUGGGGGGGUAACGGCCGACCAAGGCGAUGAUAAGUAGCCGGUCUGAGAGGAUGAACGGCCACAUUGGGACUGAGACACGGCCCAGACUCCUACGGGAGGCAGCAGUGGGGAAUCUUCCGCAAUGGACGAAAGUCUGACGGAGCAACGCCGCGUGAGUGAUGACGGCCUUCGGGUUGUAAAGCUCUGUUAAUCGGGACGCGGUACCGGAAUAGAAAGCCACGGCUAACUACGUGCCAGCAGCCGCGGUAAUUC